rnacentral:misc_RNA from 1 species
GAUGAAGAACGUAGCGAAAUGCGAUACGUAAUGUGAAUUGCAGAAUUCAGUGAAUCAUCGAGUCUUUGAACGCACAUUGCGCCCCCUGGUAUUCCGGGGGGCAUGCCUGUCCGAGCGUCAUUGCUGCCCUCAAGCACGGCUUGUGUGUUGGGCCUCCGUCCUCCUCCCGGGGGACGGGCCCGAAAGGCAGCGGCGGCACCGCGUCCGGUCCUCGAGCGUAUGGGGCUUCGUCACCCGCUCUUGUAGGCCCGGCCGGCGCUUGCCGACACAUCAAUCUUUUUUCCAGGUUGACCUCGGAUCAGGUAGGGAUACCGCUGAACUUAAGCAUAUCAAUAAGCGGAGGA